rnacentral:rRNA from 1 species
AUGAAGAGACUUUUGAGGGGCUCGUCGAGCCGAAGUUCUAAGGAGAAACAAAAGGAAGAAGAACAGAAGCCCAAAUUUAAUCUGCCUCGUAUCGCGAAGGUCCGGCCGUGUGAAUGGCCUUCCGAUGACUUCUUGAGGAGUGCCGGGAUUUAUGAAGAUUUCUAUCUAUUGAUUGAGAAUGCCGGCCUCACCAACUUCCUCCGCGACCAACGUCAUCAGUAUCUCUUACUCUCAAAUACUUUUGUGCAGAACUUCUACUUUUUCCCUAAGAAAUCACCUCCAACAGUAGAGUUCCAUUUAUAUGAUGUUGCUAGGGAGAUGACAUUAGCUGCAUUUUGCGAGGUUUGCAAAAUACCUUUCGAGGGUUCUUUAGAUGAACCACACCGUAAUGAAGUGGAAGCUUAUAUUGACACUAUCACUGUGGGAGAAACCAGGAAGGUAUCUGAUGCAAGAAUUACUAGCAUACAUUUCCUUGUUUUACGCUACUUUACCUUAUUUGCUAGUCGUUGCUUGAUUGGUCGCGGGAACUAUGGGAACCUUAGUAUUCCUGUUAUUAUUAUUUUGCUCCAUGGUUUAUACCACAAUAACUCUAUUAGUAUGGGUGGAAUUGUUGCUAGACGGUUGAGUAUGAACCGUACUAAGGGCCCCAUCUUUGGAGGCAUUUAUGCUUCACGCCUAGCUGAACAUUUUGAAAUACCUAUUAGGCAUGAGGAGAAAGAAGAAACAGCGCUGCCCCGUGCUUAUUUAGAUUAUAAGAGUACGGUAGCGCAUGAUUUUCUUGUUAAGAAUCGCGAAAGGGCGCUUAAAUAUAAAUUGUACUUUGAUAAACAUCACCCUGAGACUAUUACUUUGCCUGCUCCCUCUUUGUUUAACUUGUCUGCAUGUACUUACAUUGUUCCGUGGGCGGCUGUUCAAGCCUAUCGGAAUCCUGCACCAGCCUCGGAACCGGAGCCUCCACGAAUGUCUGUUUAUUCUUGGGAUCCUGAGGCGGUUGCCAGCCAGUGGCAGUCAGAGUCCUCUUCAUCACAUUAUGAUCCCAACUAUUCUUCAUCGCAGUACGACCCCAGCUUCACCUAUGGAUAUCAGCCAGGUUAUCCCUGGCAAUAG